UUCGGGUCCUUGUACUUUUUGUACUAUGCUUCAAUACAAAAAUACAAGAGUAGACAAAUUAUGGUUUGUUUCACAUUAAACAUAUUAGCACACAAUAAAGUUUUGACGUUUCUAGCUCAUAUUUCGAAAAGUAAAAGGCUGAAGAACAAUGUUUCUUUUCUCUGUAUGUAGUACGCAACUCAUAAAAUAUAUUUAGUGAAUGAUUUCCUCGGAGAAAAUAUGUUUUGUUGAUGUUCUUUCAAAGAUGUUUGCUCAUAAAAUGCUCCCUUUCUUUAUUUGUGAAGAGAAAACAUUUUGAUACUUCUUAACAAUGUCUAGC
rnacentral:misc_RNA from 1 species